GUGGGUAUAGCUCAGCGGUAGAGUGCAUGCUCAGUAUGCACGAGGUCCUAGGUUCAAUCCUCAGUACCUCCA
rnacentral:tRNA from 1 species